AUCCCCUGUGUUUUACCAAACUUGUGCAUGCCUUCUUUAACAUGCUUGUGCAUUUACGUAUAGGAGUUGGUUGGAACCAUAGAUGCAUAACUUAGCUCCCUUGAUCUGAACACUAGCUGUUGGACCGAGUAGAUGCCUUGCUUAAAUAGGAAACGGUAAAAGCCGAGUGAUUCCCUAUCACUCGCGAGUUGUAGGAGUUGGAUGUUUACCCUUUUGUUACAACUAUAAG
rnacentral:lncRNA from 1 species